GGCACUGGUGACGGGACCCUAAUAUUAGCUAUGGAGUUGUUGUUGGCACAGAACCUAAAUUCUAGCUGGCAUCAUUGUUACGGAGCAUUGAUAUAGAGGAGAGGGGAGAGGAAGAUGGGAGAGGAGAAUCGAGAGAGAGAGGGAGAGAGGAGGGGGGGAGAGAGAGAGGUGUACCUUGUUAGUAGCGGUGAUAGAAACCUAACCCUAGAGAGAGGGGGGAGGGAAAGAAGAAUCGAGAGAGAUAGAGGGCUGGAGAGUUCUAUUUUAUAUUAAAAAACUGGUUCAAUUCUGGAAUCGGAUUGACCGGCAAAAGUGUCCCGGUAAUCGAUUAGUCCGGUUCAGUAUGCCCCUAACCAUGUGGUUCGGAAUAGUUCGGCAGUCCUUUAUUUUGAUUGUAGUUUGUUUUGCCACAACUGUAAUAUUUUUUGACAACUUGAAAAAUCUAUUUCCAUAUUAAAACUUACUCUCCACAUAUCUAUAUUACCAAAGAAGAACGAGGACACCACUCUUGGUUUUUGGUCAUUUUUGGCUGGAGCAAUGGAGGUUGUCAAGUGGAAGAGUGGUCUUGGGACUAGAGAAGUGCCAUGAGAAUUCAGAAGUUUGACUUUUAUCAUAGGAAAAUGAAAUGACAAGUUUGGGGAUCAUGUAUCAUCUCACUUGAAAUUCUAGAAGAUUCAAAUUUAACAAAGACAAAUUCGUAAUGUGAUCUUUGAUUCAUAAUGCGAUGCUGCUGUAAACGAAUAUACAGAAACAGAGCUUUAUAUAACUGACUAGCAAAACAACCCUUUAAUAUUGCAACGAAAUAGAUAAGUUGCAUCACAGAUUAUCCAGAUUAUCGUUUACCUUGUCCGUAGUCAGAUAUCUUUGCUACUUGCAAAGUCAUUUUUCACAGGAUUUUGUAUCUUGACAUUGGCUUUGCUUGUACGGCUUCGAGUUUUGGUUCAACAAGUAAGUAUUCAGACUAAAUUUUAGUUUUCUUUUUUUCCAAAUGGAAUAAUUAUCUUGAUACGGAUGGUCCAGGUGAAUUCUAUGAUAAAAGAGAUGAUUAUUGGCAACAUAGAGGGGUGCUAGUGUUGCAAAUUAUAAUGUAUAGAAUCUUACUGUUUUUUCUUUGUAGAUUCUACAUCCAUUUUGAUUGAAAAAAAAUUAUGAGACAAUUGCUGAAGUUCUUUCAGGUCCAGAACAUUUGGGAAUCACAUUUUUAAGCAUAUAGAGUUCUAUUUUCAUUUUCGUGUUUUUACGCAGAAUUGCUGUAGAAUCAGUUUCUUUUUCCAGGAUUUCUUCAGUCCAAACUGAAUCCAUAACCAGCGCAUGCUACAGCCCAAAAUUGAUAACGAUCUUCCAUAUAGAAAAGAAAAUAUCAGGAGAUAUCUGAAUUUUUUUUUGUGAAUAAUAACUUUAAUUACGGCAGCAAGAUACUUUUUAAAACCCUGAAACACCAAUAUUUGAACUUUCUAGAUGUAGAUUUCUAGCAAUAUGACUCUUUCCUGAUCUAUUUUUAAUAGAAAGAGGAUAGAAACAAAUAGGGAAGGGAAUGGAAUAAGAGGGAAUGACCUAUUAGAUUUCUCUCUCUUGGCCAGCCCAAGUAGGUGCCCAUUCCUCUUCUCACACUAAAGUAAAUUGAGGUUUUGCUUUAUAUUCCCUGUUUACCUCACUGAAACCCCAUAUUUCUUACAUGGCAAAUAAAACUUAAUCCAGACUAACAUUAGAUUCCACAGGCUGUCCUAAAACAUCUAAUCCCCUAAUUAACCAUAUAACCAGGCCUAACAAAAGGAGCGUCUAAAACUCUUACAAUUAAUUUAAACCCUUGUCAAGCUGAAAAUUCAGCAGUUUAAACUAGAUCUUGAGAGAAAAGAUAAAUUUGUUCCUCUGUCACCAAGAUCUUUGCCUUCUCACUAGCCAUAUUUGAUAUGUCAUUGUUACUUGCUAUUAGAAGGCCAACAAUGUUCCAGUUACCUUCAGAAUUGGUAAAUAUUCUGUCUGAAAUAAUUAAAUUUCCAGUUUUGUUGUGGAAAGAUACAAUGUCACUUUGUCCUGCUGGUAUUUUGCUUCCAUCUUCUAUUGUAUGUCCUUUGCUAAUGAAUAUCAGGCAUAUAUGAAAUUCAAACUUGGAAAUAAUAUGGUCAUCUGAAUCCACCCUAGAAACUAUAGCAUUAGAUAUUAGUAUUUCGAUAAAUCUAUUUAGCUGACAAGCUUGCUACUGCCUGAUAAAAAUCUGUUGUCAACAACCAAACAGAAAAUUGUUUUCACCUCAAAAACAGCAUUUGCGUAUAUUUACUUGCCCUAUAAGUCAGAGAUAUGUUCAUGCAAUCCAACGUUUUGAUAUAUAUUUUAGAACUUUCAUGGACGACCAGUUUAUGAUGCUUAAAGCUUGUAUUCGCCGUCAAAUCCAUGCCAGUGCUAUGAAACUGAAAUAUAUAUCCUGAACAGUGACGUUGCUGCACGAUAUUGUCCGCCUCCCUAAGACCCCCUUGAUUUACACUUUUUAACAGAUCUUAGUUAACGUAGUUUUGGUAUUCAACAAUGUCUCCUCUCUCGCGCGGAAGAAGCAUUCUGUCAAACUCAUUCAGGAUGGGGUAGAGGCUUUCAGGGACUACCAUCCCUCAGGUGGGGAUUAGGGCCGGCCUAACCUUUAGGCAACUGAGGUGGUCGCCUAAGGCCCUGACCUAAAGAAGGCCCAUCGCAGGAAUGCCUCAAAGACAAAAUGAAAAGAAAAAAGGCUCCCUGUGAGUUCGCUUUAGAUCGGCCCACUGCAGGGAAGGCCUCAAAGACAAAAUGGCCUUAGGCCUCCAAAUAUAUUGGGCCACUCCUGGUGGGGAUGUUCUUAUUUUAGAAUGUGUCUGGAAAAAGGUAAGUUUGUCUUGUCCGAGAGGACAAAAAGAAGCAACGAAAACAAUCAAGAUGAUGAUUUCAGCGCUCUUUCAUUGGAGACAUCUCUUCAAUAUGAAACUAUAGAGCUAUUUAGUGAAGGUUGGUAUUUUGUGUUAUCCUUUCAGGCAUCCUUUGAUCACAAAAUAUCAUUUUACUUCAAGUUCAACCAACAAGUUUUGUUUUUGCUCGUCGCUCUCAUCACUUGAAGUGAGCAUCAUUUAAUUCACAUUUGCAUGGUGAUUGAUGUGGACUUUGACUUAUAUAUGCAUCAAUUAUGAUCAUUCGAUCAAUAAAGAACUGAUAUUAGCUGUA